UAAGUUGCAGGGUAUAGACCCGAAACCCGGUGAUCUAGCCAUGGGCAGGUUGAAGGUUGGGUAACACUAACUGGAGGACCGAACCGACUAAUGUUGAAAAAUUAGCGGAUGACUUGUGGCUGGGGGUGAAAGGCCAAUCAAACCGGGAGAUAGCUGGUUCUCCCCGAAAGCUAUUUAGGUAGCGCCUCGUGAAUUCAUCUCCGGGGGUAGAGCACUGUUUCGGCAAGGGGGUCAUCCCGACUUACCAACCCGAUGCAAACUGCGAAUACCGGAGAAUGUUAUCACGGGAGACACACGGCGGGUGCUAACGUCCGUCGUGAAGAGGGAAACAACCCAGACCGCCAGCUAAGGUCCCAAAGUCAUGGUUAAGUGGGAAACGAUGUGGGAAGGCCCAGACAGCCAGGAUGUUGGCUUAGAAGCAGCCAUCAUUUAAAGAAAGCGUAAUAGCUCACUGGUCGAGUCGGCCUGCGCGGAAGAUGUAACGGGGCUAAACCAUGCACCGAAGCUGCGGCAGCGACACUAUGUGUUGUUGGGUAGGGGAGCGUUCUGUAAGCCUGUGAAGGUGGCCUGUGAGGGUUGCUGGAGGUAUCAGAAGUGCGAAUGCUGACAUAAGUAACGAUAAAGCGGGUGAAAAGCCCGCUCGCCGGAAGACCAAGGGUUCCUGUCCAACGUUAAUCGGGGCAGGGUGAGUCGACCCCUAAGGCGAGGCCGAAAGGCGUAGUCGAUGGGAAACAGGUUAAUAUUCCUGUACUUGGUGUUACUGCGAAGGGGGGACGGAGAAGGCUAUGUUGGCCGGGCGACGGUUGUCCCGGUUUAAGCGUGUAGGCUGGUUUUCCAGGCAAAUCCGGAAAACCAAGGCUGAGGCGUGAUGACGAGGCACUACGGUGCUGAAGCGACAAAUGCCCUGCUUCCAGGAAAAGCCUCUAAGCAUCAGGUAACAUCAAAUCGUACCCCAAACCGACACAGGUGGUCAGGUAGAGAAUACCAAGGCGCUUGAGAGAACUCGGGUGAAGGAACUAGGCAAAAUGGUGCCGUAACUUCGGGAGAAGGCACGCUGAUAUGUAGGUGAAGCGACUUGCUCGUGGAGCUGAAAUCAGUCGAAGAUACCAGCUGGCUGCAACUGUUUAUUAAAAACACAGCACUGUGCAAACACGAAAGUGGACGUAUACGGUGUGACGCCUGCCCGGUGCCGGAAGGUUAAUUGAUGGGGUUAGCGGUAACGCGAAGCUCUUGAUCGAAGCCCCGGUAAACGGCGGCCGUAACUAUAACGGUCCUAAGGUAGCGAAAUUCCUUGUCGGGUAAGUUCCGACCUGCACGAAUGGCGUAAUGAUGGCCAGGCUGUCUCCACCCGAGACUCAGUGAAAUUGAACUCGCUGUGAAGAUGCAGUGUACCCGCGGCAAGACGGAAAGACCCCGUGAACCUUUACUAUAGCUUGACACUGAACAUUGAGCCUUGAUGUGUAGGAUAGGUGGGAGGCUUUGAAGUGUGGACGCCAGUCUGCAUGGAGCCGACCUUGAAAUACCACCCUUUAAUGUUUGAUGUUCUAACGUUGGCCCGUAAUCCGGGUUGCGGACAGUGUCUGGUGGGUAGUUUGACUGGGGCGGUCUCCUCCUAAAGAGUAACGGAGGAGCACGAAGGUUGGCUAAUCCUGGUCGGACAUCAGGAGGUUAGUGCAAUGGCAUAAGCCAGCUUGACUGCGAGCGUGACGGCGCGAGCAGGUGCGAAAGCAGGUCAUAGUGAUCCGGUGGUUCUGAAUGGAAGGGCCAUCGCUCAACGGAUAAAAGGUACUCCGGGGAUAACAGGCUGAUACCGCCCAAGAGUUCAUAUCGACGGCGGUGUUUGGCACCUCGAUGUCGGCUCAUCACAUCCUGGGGCUGAAGUAGGUCCCAAGGGUAUGGCUGUUCGCCAUUUAAAGUGGUACGCGAGCUGGGUUUAGAACGUCGUGAGACAGUUCGGUCCCUAUCUGCCGUGGGCGCUGGAGAACUGAGGGGGGCUGCUCCUAGUACGAGAGGACCGGAGUGGACGCAUCACUGGUGUUCGGGUUGUCAUGCCAAUGGCACUGCCCGGUAGCUAAAUGCGGAAGAGAUAAGUGCUGAAAGCAUCUAAGCACGAAACUUGCCCCGAGAUGAGUUCUCCCUGAGACUUAGAGUCUCCUGAAGGAACGUUGAAGACGACGACGUUGAUAGGCCGGGUGUGUAAGCGCAGCGAUGCGUUGAGCUAACCGGUACUAAUGAACCGUGAGGCUUAACCUUACAACGCCGAAG
rnacentral:rRNA from 1 species